UUGAAAGUUUUUAAGAAUCGUACAUUGGUUGCGUUUUGUGAAAAUGACUUAAUAUGAAAUUUUGCACAAUUUUCAAUUAUCAAGGCGAAGAUAAUAAAACAAGUUGGGUCAAAUAUUUAACUAAUCUGAACCUAGGUUUGGAAAUGUUUUGCUAUUGUGUUGUUAGCAAACAUUGAAAGGUAAAAAUAGCGUCCGACUCAAACAAAAGUGAUGGGAAUAAAUGCAUGGAGGGUCUGCAUUGUAAACAGAAGUUUCUUGUUUCAACUCUCAGCUGCGACAAAAGCUGAGUGAUUGAGAACGUGAGGAUGAGAGCCAGGCGGAACUAAAUCUGUUGUGUAAUCAAGAUAUACCCGUCAAUCUAUAAUUGGACCCCCUUCGAAGA
rnacentral:sRNA from 1 species